GUCCCCAGUUCGGUGCCCAGGCUCCCACGCAUUGGGCAGGGGCCUAAGAAAGGGAGUCGCUGAAGCCGGCAAGGCACUAACCCCAUCUCAGCCAAAGAAAGGAGGUUGCCCGAGACGCACAGGUGAGAAUGGCAACCGGGCCUCCUCUGAGGAAGAAGCCAUCGCCCACAGUGUGUCUGGGUCAUGCAAAAGAGUCCCUGAGACCCCUGCUGCCCUCCAGCCAUGAUGAGUUUUCACCUGUCGCUUGCUGUUCUUCUCUUGCUCUCCCUGGCUGCUUCAGGUAACAUGGAAACCAAUAUUUAGUGGUAAACUAGGGGACUGGGAGAUCCUAGGAAGCAAAGAUCAGAUGGGCAGAAUUCUAGUUCUCAGGAGCGUUAACAAGGGGUGGUACAUGCCCAUGAGCAAUUUAGGACCUGUCAGACUGGACCCGAUUGUGAGAGGGGCUCCGAUCUUGAGAAUUAAAAA